rnacentral:rRNA from 1 species
UACGUAGGGUGCGAGCAUUGUCCGGAAUUAUUGGGCGUAAAGAGCUCGUAGGCGGCCUGUCGCGUCGGAUGUGAAAGCCCGGGGCUUAACCCCGGGUCUGCAUUCGAUACGGGCAGGCUGGAGUUCGGUAGGGGAGAUCGGAAUUCCUGGUGUAGCGGUGAAAUGCGCAGAUAUCAGGAGGAACACCGAUGGCGAAGGCAGGUCUCUGGGCAUUAACUGACGCUGAGGAGCGAAAGCAUGGGGAGCGAACAGG